CCUACGGGAGGCAGCAGUGAGGAAUAUUGGACAAUGGGCGCAAGCCUGAUCCAGCCAUGCCGCGUGCAGGAAGACGGUCCUAUGGAUUGUAAACUGCUUUUAUACAGGAAGAAACACCUCUACGUGUAGAGACUUGACGGUACUGUAUGAAUAAGCAUCGGCUAACUCCGUGCCAGCAGCCGCGGUAAUACGGAGGAUGCAAGCGUUAUCCGGAAUCAUUGGGUUUAAAGGGUCCGUAGGCGGUUUAAUAAGUCAGUGGUGAAAGCCCAUCGCCCAACGAUGGAACGGCCAUUGAUACUGUUAAACUUGAAUUAUUAGGAAGUAACUAGAAUAUGUAGUGUAGCGGUGAAAUGCUUAGAGAUUACAUGGAAUACCAAUUGCGAAGGCAGGUUACUACUAAUAUAUUGACGCUGAUGGACGAAAGCGUGGGGAGCGAACAGGAUUAGAUACCCUGGUAGUCCACGCCGUAAACGAUGGAUACCUAGACUGUCGUAGCAUACUGUAGUGGUGUAGACGAAGUAGAGUAAGUAAGUACCGACCGUACGGGUAAGGUACGGUUACGUUCGAAGUAAAGUUAGUUAAACGUAACGAAGUUAGAGUUAGUUACGGCGUUGAGACGUUAGCCGACGGACGACCGACCGAGGGAGGUUAGGGAGG
rnacentral:rRNA from 1 species